rfam:Globodera pallida, Lindley, WGS project CBXT01000000 data, contig: pathogens_Gpal_scaffold_1059_contig_1
ACGAGUUGAUAUUUUACCCUAACAAGAGCUGGCCAUGAGACAGUUUUUUUUGACAGAUUAAUAGCUUUUCAUGAUUCGGUGGAUGGUGGUGCAUGGCCGUUCUUAGUUCGUGGAGCGUUUUUUCUGGUUCAUUCCGAUAACGAGCGAGACUCUAGCCUACUUAAGAUGCCCUUAGAUGUCCGGGGCUGCACGCGCGCUACACUGGCAAAAUCAGCAUGCUUGUCCUUCCCCGAAUGGGGUUGGUAAAUCGGUGAAAAUUUGCCGUGAUUGGGAUCGGACAUUGCAAUUAUUGUCCGUGAACGAGGAAUUCCUUGUAGGGGCGAGUCAUAAACUCGCUCUGAAUAC